rnacentral:rRNA from 1 species
UGGCGGCGUGGAUUAGGCAUGCAAGUCGGACGAGAAAGCCACCUUCGGGUGGUGAGUACAGUGGCGGACGGGUGAGUAACGCGUAGAUAUCUGCCUUUAAGUUGGGGAUAACUCAGGGAAACCUGAACUAAUACCGAAUGUGGUUGCCAAACUAAAGGGGGCUUUGGCUCCCGCUUAGAGAUGAGUCUGCGUCCAAUUAGCUAGAUGGUGUGGUAAUGGCUCACCAUGGCGAUGAUUGGUAGNCGUCUUUAACGAGUGUCNCCCACACCGGGAUUGAGAUACGGCCCAGACUCCUACGGGAGGCAGCAGUGAGGAAUAUUGGACAAUGGAUGGAAAUCUGAUCCAGCCAUGCCGCGUGCAGGAAGACGGUCCUAUGGAUUGUAAACUGCUUUUAUAUGGGAGCAAUAAGAACUACGUGUAGUUCGAUGAGAGUACCAUAUGAAUAAGCACCGGCUAACUACGU